AUUGAACGCUGGCGGCAUGCUUUACACAUGCAAGUCGAACGGUAACAGGCCUUCGGGCGCUGACGAGUGGCGAACGGGUGAGUAAUGCAUCGGAACGUGCCCAGUCGUGGGGGAUAACGCAGCGAAAGCUGUGCUAAUACCGCAUACGAUCUGCGGAUGAAAGCGGGGGACCUUCGGGCCUCGCGCGAUUGGAGCGGCCGAUGUCAGAUUAGGUAGUUGGUGGGGUAAAGGCCCACCAAUCCGACGAUCUGUAGCUGGUCUGAGAGGCCGACCAGCCACACGGGGACUGAGACACGGCCCAGACUCCUACGGGAGGCAGCAGUGGGGAAUUUUGGACAAUGGGAGCAAGCCUGAUCCAGCAAUGCCGCGUGCAGGAAGAAGGCCUUCGGGUUGUAAACUGCUUUUGUACGGAGCGAAAAGGCUCCCUCUAAUACAGGGGGCUCAUGACGGUACCGUAAGAAUAAGCACCGGCUAACUACGUGCAAGCAGCCGCCGUAA
rnacentral:rRNA from 1 species